UACGUAGGGUCCGAGCGUUGUCCGGAAUUAUUGGGCGUAAAGGGCUCGUAGGCGGUCUGUUGCGUCGGGAGUGAAAACUUACAGCUUAACUGUGAGCGUGCUUCCGAUACGGGCAGACUUGAGGUAUUCAGGGGAGAACGGAAUUCCUGGUGUAGCGGUGAAAUGCGCAGAUAUCAGGAGGAACACCGGUGGCGAAGGCGGUUCUCUGGGCCGAUACUGACGCUGAGGAGCGAAAGCGUGGGGAGCGAACAGG
rnacentral:rRNA from 1 species